rnacentral:rRNA from 1 species
GCCUGCCCAGUGACUCUGUUCAACGGCCGCGGUAUCCUAACCGUGCGAAGGUAGCGUAAUCACUUGUUCUUUAAAUGAGGACUAGUAUGAAUGGCACCACGAAGGUUACACUGUCUCCCUUUUCUAAUCAGUGAAACUAAUCUCUCCGUGAAGAAGCGGAGAUAAACAUAUAAGACGAGAAGACCCUAUGGAGCUUUAAACUUAAUAACAUUUCCUUAAAAUACCCACACUCCAGAGUAACUAACAUUUAUUACAGCCUUCUGAUUAUUAGUUUUAGGUUGGGGUGACCGCGGAGCAAAAAAUAACCUCCACAUUGAAUGGGGAACUCCCCUGAGCCACGAGCUACAACUCUACGCACCAAUAAAUUGACAUCAAUUGACCCAAUAUAUUGAUCAACGAACCAAGUUACCCUAGGGAUAACAGCGCAAUCCGCUUCAAGAGCUCCUAUCGACAAGCGGGUUUACGACCUCGAUGUUGGAUCAGGGUAUCCCAGUGGUGCAGCCGCUACUAAAGGUUCGUUUGUUCAACGAUUAAAACCCUACGUGAC